UGUUUGCAGCACCCAGACACGUGUGAACACCCCCAGAAAGCCAAGGGACAAGAAGGCAUUCGGUGAAGGACUAUUUUGUGCUGCACAUCUGGUAUUUGCUCAUUUUCCAGGUGAACCCAGGCACGGAGCUGUUGGAGGGCUCCCUCUUCUCGGGUCACUCUGGAGCCCAGGAUGAAGGCUGAAGAGAGGCACCGACUGGAAGUUAGGACAAUUGAGCUGUCGGUUGUUUGGUGGAGAAGCAGGGAAGAGAUGCGGGCUCCAACACCACCUUUUUGGCAGAGCAGUGGGUGACAAGAAAGAGUUCUGAUUUUCUCUCACGUCUCCCAGCCGCCAGAGAAAGGUGUGAUCAGAUGGUCUUCUACUACAACAGAAACAUUGCCGGAGAUCCAGCAAAGAAACACUAAAUGAUUAAACUUCUCCUGACGCUAAACUUGCACGCGGAGAGGUUAAGGACUAAAAACACGGACAGUAUUUGGGGGAGCCGUAGUUGAUGGGCACGGCCGUGUCU